rnacentral:lncRNA from 1 species
AUGCAACAGUCCUGGCAUGGAAAUCUACUCGGCGUGCUCCUGAAUGUCAAGGAAUCUUGUAAUGGGCUGGGUUUGGCACGUAGCUCUCAUCGAAAGGGGGCCUGGUGCUGCUUUUUCAGUUUCUCCCACAGUUUGUGGUCAUCCGCAUCUGUAACCUAUUUCUUUCCUUAUAUUGGACCAGCAGCCCAGUGUUGAGCAACCUCAACAAGAGGAACCGCCAGCUGAGAUUCAGGAUAUCACACCUGGGAAGGAGGAAGUAAAUGGAGAGGAUCCGGUGAAUCAUAAUGAAGAGAAGGAGGAUGCCUCUGGAGGUAAAGUGUAUGUGUGCAUCAUGUCUUAAGACAUAACCAGUAAGAGGAGGAAAGGAAACAUUAGAAACGGACUUCAGACAGUUUCCUAAAAAAACUGAGCAGAGUACAGUUUUCAGGUUAGUGUGGUCGCUCAAAUUUUCCCUUGUUUCAAGAC